GAGGUAAACACUCAAUAUUCCACCUCAGUUGACGACCUAGACAUAGAUUUUUUCUUGCAAGAACACCAGGAAACGGCAUCGCCUCAGAGAUAGAAUGUAUAUGUUGUAGUGGAUUCUAGGAAUGCUUGGAAGAAUUACCUGUACCAUCACUAUAAUCAUCCAAUUCACAUCCUUAUUCAUCAUCAAACAGAUGUUAUUCUCAAUUAUGUUGAUGUUAGCAAGUGUUCCUUAAGGAAUAAUUUUGUAAUAUAAACAUCAAUAUGAUGAGUAGAAUUCUAUUUUGAGCUAAUAAAGUAAAGGUAGUAUUAACAUUCCUCUUUAGGCGACAAUCAAGCAUCAUUUCAUUUCCCCCAUUUGCUUUAAACUGGUACUUAAUUUACAUAUUUGAAAGCUUGGCCAGAUAUUCAUGGUUGCUACUUGCUAGCAAUUUAAACCUCCAGGUUUGGAUAAUCUUUUAUUUUAAUAGUUGCUUUGAUAAUUUCGGAAAAGCCUCUUAUGGAUUCACAGAUUUCUGUGACAAAUUUAUGAUGUUUGACUAGUUCUGGAUUUUGUUGACAUGCAUUUAUUUAUAAAUGGGGGGUCGCAGGUUCAUACAUGCAAUAAGCUAGCUAGUAGACAUGUGAGAGUUGGGCUUGCUGAUCCCAUUGAUGUGCCUCGUUGCGAUAUAUGUGAAAACUCACCUGGUAUGCAGACCUUUGACUUGCAUUUUCUCCUUGUAUUAUAAUAUUUUGUUUCAAUAAGAUUGUUAAUUGUGAUCUAAAAAAAUAAAUUAAAAUAAACCAUUUGUCCAGCAUAUUUUUAUUGUGAAGUGGAUGGAAGCUCCCUUUGUUUGCAAUGCGAUAUGGUUGUACAUGUUGGAGGCAAAAGAACUCAUGGAAGAUAUCUCCUGUUAAGGCAGAGAGUUCAGGUAAUUUUUUCCUUAACUCUUGUAUUUUGUCUAUAUAUGUGAUUCUUUCGUAUCAUUAAAUUGGUUCUUACCAAUGAAUUACUACCUUUGCUUUCUCUACAGUUUCAAGGAAGUACAUCUGGGUGUGAAGAGGAGCUUGGUACCCAACUAAUAGAUUCAGCUGAAAACAAGAGGGAAUAUACUAACUCUACCAAGCAAAUUGUUCAAGAUGAGAAGCAGAAUCUCGAGGCCUCUGCCGUUCCAAAUUUAUACUCCAUUGCUGAUGGACCUGCUAAGAUGGACACUGGAAUGAUUGAUUUGAAUAUGAAGCCACAUCGACUCCAUGACCAAGCUUCAAAUAAUCAGGUAGGCUUACUCUUUCUUGCUAAUAUAAUCUUGAAUUCUGCUUGUAGGAUUUAUUUCCUUUAUCUUAUACAUGACAAGCUCAGUGUUUCUUAUAAUUGGAUGCAUAACUUUGGUAACAUCUAGUGGAUCCAGUGUAGUCUUUAGAAUGUGUAGCCAUUUAUCAUGAAAGAGAAGAAUUAUUUAAAUCAUGUCAGUUGAAGAUUUUUUUCUUUCUUUUUUUGGGUAUAUUUUUCAGUUUGAAGUUAGUUCAUUAUGUAGUCUCUUCACAUAUCCGCCUAGGACACAAGUAACUGUUGCAUUGAGAAUUUGAGAGUGCCAAGACCAUUUGAACAUUCCAUUUGUGAACAGAAAAUGAAGAGAUUUAGAGGUGAAGAACGUCUUUUCUUUUUGUUUAUGCAAUUUCACUCGAAGUCAUAAGGUUAAAGCAUUUUAUCUUAGAAUGUUAUCUCAAAGGAAUCAAUGGAUUGUUCUUGCUUGAACUAUAAAUAAUUUUCAGAAUAACGCUUUUACUUUUUUUUAGGAUCUAAUGCGAUAGGGUGAAUUGACACAGUUACAUAAUUGUCUUUAAUAUUUUGUCAUUUCUUUAUUUUUCGAUAUCUUACAAGGAUCAAACUAAAGAUCUCCUUUUUUCUUCAACAAUUUCAGAUAUCUAGUUGACCUCUCACUAUAAUUCGAACCCAGAUGAAGUUCUGACCAUUUAUAAGAGAAAAAUGAACAAAAGGAUCUUGUAGGAUUCACAUGAAAUUCUUCGAUUUCUUCAGAAGUGAAUAGCCAAGACAAGGAGCUGCAUUGCCUUCAAUCACUAAAAACAUAUGCUCUUUAGUUUGCUUUUCUGUGGUUAGGAUUGGGUGGGGGUAAUCUGCACGCAUACUUCAUUUGUGCACAAUUAUUUUGCUCUGUAAGCCCUAUCAGAUUCACGUCUGAAAAAGAUGUGUGUCAUAGCACAUCUAAGUUUGGUACUGAUCAAGAGUUCUCAAUCUGAGGAUAUAUGAUUUACCUUUAAGAAUCCGUGAAAACAAGAAAUUCACACUCAUGCUCCAAGAAUCAAAGUGGUAUUCCAGUUGGGUGAAAUAACAAAUUUGUCGUAUCCCGAUUAAGAAACAUCUCUGCUCAUUUAAAGUAGCAACUAAUAUGUAGAUAACUUCGUAUCUAGUUUUUUUCGUUUUGAGAACUGUACCCAUAUGAUCUCUAAAGCAAGGAAAUUUGGUUUCUGAAAAAAUAUUUUGAGCUAAUAAAGUAAAGGUAGUAUUAACAUUCCUCUUUAGGCGACAAUCAAGCAUCAUUUCAUUUCCCCCAUUUGCUUUAAACUGGUACUUAAUUUACAUAUUUGAAAGCUUGGCCAGAUAUUCAUGGUUGCUACUUGCUAGCAAUUUAAACCUCCAGGUUUGGAUAAUCUUUUAUUUUAAUAGUUGCUUUGAUAAUUUCGGAAAAGCCUCUUAUGGAUUCACAGAUUUCUGUGACAAAUUUAUGAUGUUUGACUAGUUCUGGAUUUUGUUGACAUGCAUUUAUAUAUAAAUGGGGGGUCGCAGGUUCAUACAUGCAAUAAGCUAGCUAGUAGACAUGUGAGAGUUGGGCUUGCUGAUCCCAUUGAUGUGCCUCGUUGCGAUAUAUGUGAAAACUCACCUGGUAUGCAGACCUUUGACUUGCAUUUUCUCCUUGUAUUAUAAUAUUUUGUUUCAAUAAGAUUGUUAAUUGUGAUCUAAAAAAAUAAAUUAAAAUAAACCAUUUGUCCAGC
rnacentral:lncRNA from 1 species